rnacentral:snoRNA from 1 species
GACCAAAGGGAGUAACCGCCGCAGCUUCGCUGCGGCGGCCCCUAAAAAAGGGAUAGAUAAAAGAAAUGCCCUAGUCCGGCAAAGGGAUUAGGGCAUUUCAAGAAAG